GAGGGUGAGUCAUUAAUGACAUGAUUUCCAUUUUUGGCUGAACUAACCCUUUAAUUCUAAUUAUAGUUUGACUUCCCAAUAACAGCACUGGUUUGGAGUGUUUUGAAGUGUUAUAUAGUGUCGUUCAGUGCAGGUUUUGUUUCUCAUGAGCUCUUAUCUCUGCUGCACUCACAUUCUCUGCAUCUCCUGUGAUAAAUCAAGAGCCUAGUUCCAGCGAUAAACCCACUCCAGACCUCUUCACCUGUCAGUGCUGAUGAAGUCUGACUCUCUGAUCAUGUCUGUGUCUGUAGGUUUUGGAGGUUUUGGGAGCACCAACACUAACACCAACCAAGCCCCGUCUCAGACGUUCAGCAGCUGGAGGAGUUGAUCUGUGGACACUGACAUCAUCUGAUGUGAUGUGCUGUGGUUUUACAGUGUUCACGGAGGAUUGAAUAUACCAUGAGUUCAUGUUCUUAACAAUGUGCUGAUGUCCUCCUGUUUUAUGUUCAAUGUGUUUCUUCUGUUAACUGCACAAUGAGAAAUAAACUCAAGCGCUGUUGACCGUA